rnacentral:rRNA from 1 species
AUUGAACGCUGGCGGCACGCCUAACACAUGCAAGUCGAGCGGCAGCGCGAUAUGUAGCAAUACAUAUUGGCGGCGAGCGGCGGACGGGUGAGGCACACGUAGGAACCUAACCUCGAGUGGGGGAUACCCAAGGGAAACUUUGGCUAAUACCGCAUGAACUCGAGAGAGCAAAGCUGCCGCAAGGUGGCGCUCGAGGAGGGGCCUGCGUCCGAUUAGCUAGUUGGUGAGGUAAGAGCUCACCAAGGCGAUGAGCGGCAACUGGUCUGAGAGGACGACCAGUCACACUGGGACUGAGACACGGCCCAGACUCCUACGGGAGGCAGCAGUGGGGAAUAUUGGACAAUGGGGGCAACCCUGAUCCAGCGAUGCCGCGUGAGUGAAGAAGGCCUUCGGGUCGUAAAGCUCUUUAGGUUGGGAAGAAGGGUGAUGGAGGAAAUGCUAUCACUUUGACGGUACCGACAGAAUAAGCACCGGCAAACUCUGUGCCAGCCGCCGCGGUAAAAC